GGGUUGGGCCUCCAACGUCAGCACUAUGGGCUCUGUCUCUGCCUGUCUCCUUCGCUCUGCUUUCUGCAAACAGCACUUUCCACACUGCCCACGAGCGAGCAGGUUUCAGUGGAGCCAAGCAGAUUCCAUUUCUGGAGCAAGCCCAUGGGGAAGAAUCAACAUUUAAAGUUUCUAAAAGGAAAUGAAACACUGCAGAGACUGUCCAGUUUGACCAACCGUACAUGGCAGAGGGGCAUUGCUGGCACAUGACGGCAUAUAUCACAUUGGUAGAUGCGCAGAGGCUGUGACACCAACAGACCAGGUGCCGGCUCAUGCCAAGGUCCCCGUGUCUCAUCUGACAAACACAGAGCUGGAAUCAGGCUGGUUAACCUGUGUGUUAGUGUUGUUAAAAUAGGUAUUAGAAUGAUAAGAAUUUGUUUAAUGUUUAGACUUUAUUGAAUGCUUGUGAGCUGCUGCCUGCAUUAAUCUAACUUGUAACACCUGUAUCUCAGGUAAUAUCUGAGCUGUUGUAUUGUGAGCCUUUGUGACUGUGUAAAUCACCAAACAUGAGAGACAUAAAUUAGUGUGAAGGGCUGCUCUUCAGCAGAAAGUGUUACACCUUUCCAAAAGGAAAGGUCCAUUGAUACCAGACAGAGUAUUGUGGGACAUUGCAACUGGAAUUUCCUUACAUAUUGUCAGCAAUAGGACAAAAAUCUUCUGUUGUUCUGCUCUCCUCCUCAUGAAGAUGAGUCGUGCAAGUGGACUGUCUCCCUCUCCUCUCACCACCAGCUGAGUUUGCAGCUCAGAGUACAGGGCAGGAGGGAGAUAAAAACCCCAAACAAAAAGAAUUUGGUAUCUCUGCGCUGCUUGGACUCUGAGGGGCAAAGUGUUUGUCAGCAUAAGCAAGAGAUCCGCAGCUGCUCAGCCUGGGUUAGCCAUAAAGGACAUACAGAGCUGGUUGAUUAUAGAAGUUUGAGUGUAGCCUAUUUGUGUAUCUAUACCUCCUUUAACCCUGAAAAUGACUCGCUGGUUUCACUUUCCAAUUUAAUAAAUCUGUAGGUAGUUUAUUAUAGGAUUGGGUACAACCAUUGUCUUUGGUGUAUGAUCUGAGGUGCAAUUGACCUGGGGUAAGUGACUGGUCCUUUGGGCCUGGGAGUAACCUGACUAUUGCUGUGAUCCUUGGUGUCAGGAGCCAUCUAUCACAAAGGUAGGCUCACAUGGGUGUGAGAUAGAUGCAAAUACCCAAGGGGGUACUGUCUAUGACUCCAUGUUAAGCCUGUUAUAGUGUCUGAAGAGUUUACACAUGAUAAUUGGUUGGUGGAGUCUAAGUAUCGAACUCACCGCUUAUUUGGGGUUUGUGCCCUGCUUCCUAGCAGUCUGCCCUGAGGUUGGCACUCACCAUCUGCCACUGUAUGCAGUGUUACAGGGGCAUUCCCUGCAGUCCGUGGCAAAUUCCGCAUUCAGCCCUCAGUCUGGCAAAAUGUCGGUGACCCAGGAAUAAGGGCCAGGCCAGGCUCUCAUUGACUCCGUUAAUGCUGGAUUAAGCCCCAAAUCAAUAACGUGAACAAUGUUGUGCUUGUUAGACAAUAUGUUAAACAUACUUAGCUACAGGGACUGCAUUCUCCAAAGCUCCUCAGGAGAGGAAAUGGUAAGUUCAGCUCCUCCUGCCCCCUCUUCUCUCAUGUUUUCCCUCCUUACAGCUGCUCCUGCUGACCUCUGUGAGUGACCAGUCUGCUAGGCCUCAUGCACAGGGAAGAGGGCAUCGUCCCCAAAUUCCACUUCCACUCCAGGUGACAAAUAAUCCCACAACCAGGCACAGAGCUUGGGCACUGUCCGUGGCGCUACUAUCUCUUUCAUUCAGAGCUAGCUCUUACCUUACAUGUUGUAACGAGGCUGGUUCUGGUGGGACCCAACUGAGAGUGCCAAUUCAGGACAAA